rnacentral:rRNA from 1 species
GACGAACGCUGGCGGCGUGCUUAACACAUGCAAGUCGAACGGAAAGGCCCUGCCUGUGUGGGGUGCUCGAGUGGCGAACGGGUGAGUAACACGUGAGUAACCUGCCCUUGACUUUGGGAUAACUUCAGGAAACUGGAGCUAAUACCGGAUAGGAGGUCCUGCUGCUUUGUGUGGGUUGGAAAGUUUCGGCGGUUGGGGCUGGAUCCGCGGGUUAUCAGCUUGUUGGUGGGGUAGUGGAUUACCAAGGCCUGGAAGGGUAGCCGGCCGGUGAGGGUGAACGGCCAGCUUGGAAGGGAGAUAGGGCCCAGACUCAUACGGGAGGCAGGAGGCGGUAAUAUAGUACGAUGGGCGGAAGAAUGACGCAGGAAGGACGGGUGCGGGAUGACGGCCGCCGGGUUGUAAACAGCGUUCGGCUGUGACGAAGCGAGAGUGACGGUACCGGGUAAAGAAGCACCGGCUAACUACGUG